AAUAUAAUGUAACUCAAGUUACGUUAGAGCUCCACUUCACCUACUCUCGACUUCCUCCUCUAAAGUGCCGAACUCAACUUUCACUACACUCAACCUCCUCUAAAAAAUUUAUUAAACAGUAAAACCUAAACUCUACUUCCUUUAUAAUGGGUUAGAAUUACCUUAUUUAUAAUAAAUUAGGAUUAUCUUUAAAUAAUAAUAAAAAAAUUAAUUAUAUAAUAGAUUAAAUUUUAUAGUGGUAAAUUUAUUACUAUAUUUAGGAGAUAAUAAGAUCCACUUACUUACAUCAAAACAAACAACGGAACUCAAAAAACUAAUUUUACCAGCACCAAGUUACAUCAAAACAAACAACAGAAGUGAUUGAAUUUAACUUUCAGGCGGUACAAGUUACGUCAAAACAAACAACAAAAAAAUAAUCACACUUCAGGAAAACUCAAACACCACUACACUUGACUUACGUUAAAUCUACAAAUACGUCAAUCCAAACGCCCCCUUACCCAAUUAACGAG
rnacentral:lncRNA from 1 species